UAGGGAAUCUUCCGCAAUGGGCGAAAGCCUGACGGAGCAACGCCGCGUGAGUGAUGAAGGUCUUCGGAUCGUAAAACUCUGUUAUUAGGGAAGAACAAAUGUGUAAGUAACUAUGCACGUCUUGACGGUACCUAAUCAGAAAGCCACGGCUAACUACGUGCCAGCAGCCGCGGUAAUACGUAGGUGGCAAGCGUUAUCCGGAAUUAUUGGGCGUAAAGCGCGCGUAGGCGGUUUUUUAAGUCUGAUGUGAAAGCCCACGGCUCAACCGUGGAGGGUCAUUAGAAGCUAGAAAACUUGAGUGCAGAAGAGGAAAGUGGAAUUCCAUGUGUAGCGGUGAAAUACGCAGAGAUAUGGAGGAACACCAGUGGCGAAGGCGACUUUCUGGUCUGUAACUGACGCUGAUGUGCGAAAGCGUGGGGAUCAAACAGG
rnacentral:rRNA from 1 species